AUGGGGUGUUGACAAAGGCCCUACUAAUGUUAUGAUACACACUGAAGAUGGCAGUGUCUUUAAUGUUUUUUUAAGCGCUUCUAAAGGGAAGAUAUUUUUUUUAAUGGUUGGUCCAAUGUUGUAAUACACUUGGGACUAACCAAAGGGUGUUUGGUAGUUUUUAAUCCACUAGAUCCUACAACUUUUAAAUUAACAAGUUUCAUUGAUGGGGUUAGUCGUGGCUCUUUCUGGACAUAUAUGCUAUCUCCGUCAUGUAAUUUUUAUGACAUCCCUCAAAGUACUUUGCCCAAAAGUUACGAUUAUUCCUCAAAUGACGUAACCUCUACUGUAAUGAUAGACAACAAAACAUUUAACGUUUCUAUUGUAACAUACGACGGUAAAGUCGGUUUUACCGUUGGUAUGGACGUAAUUGUUAGUCU
rnacentral:lncRNA from 1 species